AGCGAACGCUGGCGGCAUGCCUAACACAUGCAAGUCGCACGGGGGGGCUUCGGCCUCCCAGUGGCGGACGGGUGAGGAACGCGUAGGGACCUGUCGAGGGGUGGGGGAUAACCGCGGGAAACUGCGGCUAAUACCGCAUGACGCCGCGGCGUGACAGCCGGGGCCAAAGGCGAAAGCCGCCCGCCGAGGGGCCUGCGUCCGAUUAGCUGGUUGGCGGGGUAGCGGCCCACCAAGGCGUCGAUCGGUAGCUGGUCUGAGAGGGUGAUCAGCCACACCGGGACUGGGACACGGCCCGGACUCCUACGGGAGGCAGCAGUGGGGAAUAGUGGACAAUGGGCGCAAGCCUGAUCCAGCAAUGCCGCGUGGGUGAAGAAGGUAUUCGGAUUGUAAAGCCCUUUCGGCGGGGACGAUGGUGACGGUACCCGCAGAAGAAGCCCCGGCUAACUUCGUG
rnacentral:rRNA from 1 species